rnacentral:tRNA from 1 species
GGCGGUAUAGCUCAGUUGGCUAGAGCGCUCGGUUCAUACCCGUGAGGUCAGGGGUUCAAAUCCCUUUACCGCUACCA